rnacentral:rRNA from 1 species
GACAGAGGGGGCAAGCGUUGUCCGGAGUGACUGGACGUACAGCGCGCGCAGGUGGGUGGUGACGUGCCUUGUGACAGCGCUCGGCUUAACCGAGCGAGGCCACGGUAGACGCACCGUCUAGAGUAAGAGAGAGGCAGGUGGAAUACCCGGUGGAGCGGUGAAAUGCGUAGAUAUCAUUUGGAACGCCAAUGGUGAAAACAGGUUGCUGGGAGUGUGCUGACGCUGAGACACGAAAGCCAGGGGAGCAAACGGG